rnacentral:rRNA from 1 species
CACUCCUGCGGGAGGCAGCAGUGGGGAAUUUUGGACAAUGGGCGAAAGCCUGAUCCAGCAAUGCCGCGUGUGUGAAGAAGGCCUUCGGGUUGUAAAGCACUUUUGUCCGGAAAGAAAUCCUUGGCUCUAAUACAGUCGAGGGAUGACGGUACCGGAAGAAUAAGCACCGGCUAACUACGUGCCAGCAGCCGCGGUAAUACGUAGGGUGCGAGCGUUAAUCGGAAUUACUGGGCGUAAAGCGUGCGCAGGCGGUUUGCUAAGACCGAUGUGAAAUCCCCGGGCUCAACCUGGGAACUGCAUUGGUGACUGGCAGGCUAGAGUAUGGCAGAGGGGGGUAGAAUUCCACGUGUAGCAGUGAAAUGCGUAGAGAUGUGGAGGAAUACCGAUGGCGAAGGCAGCCCCCUGGGCCAAUACUGACGCUCAUGCACGAAAGCGUGGGGAGCAAACAGGAUUAGAAACCCCGGUAGUCCCAUGAU